UAUAAAUAUAUUUACUCCGUAAAUAGAUUUAAAGUCCGACAAGUUCGUAUCUACCUGUGUAAUCAAGUAGUACAGUAGUACAAGUAUAGCAAUCAAUAACAUAUCUCUUCUGUGUCCAGGAAGAAUUUAUAAAGGAGAUGGCAGACUGCCAUGCCGAUCAACCUUGACUCUUCAAAUCAAAUUGUCUUCUACCAAUCACCAGUAUGUUACUACACAUAUACAUGUACAUGAAUACAUAUGGGUAGUGUACGUAAAUUCACAGCAGAGUUCUACAAACGAUCUAGCGAAAUGCAAAUGAGGACCAAUAGCAAUUUAAAGGAAAUGUUGACAGACAGAAGGAUAUGGACUAUGGAUAGACAGACAGAUGACAGAUGCUACGCUAUGGCAUCAGAAAACUAAAUUCAAUCUUUUGUGAAGAGGUUUAAUGGAACAAAUUGGAGGAUGAUCGAAGGAACCCAAAUACAGAAACAAUACCGAUCUGACAGGCAAGUCUUUAGGAGGAGUAGAUAGAAGUUCCUUCAAAGGAAUGCCAUGUUAAGCCGUACGUUAGAAGGAGUGGAGUAACAUUCCCUCAAAGAAUGCCAUUCCAAGCCGUACGUUAGAAGUAGUCGAAUAACAUUCCCUAAAAGAAUGCCAUUCCAAGCCGUAUGCUAGAAGGAGUGGAGUGUCAUUCCGAAUGCCAUGCCAAGCCUUUAUUAUUAAUAUGUUUAUUCAGGUAAAAGGCAAUAUAAAUAAAAUAUAUCACAGAUACAAAUAUUAAAUUUUUAACAGUUUAACAAGAUUCAGCAAUCACUCCCUAAAUUACAGCAGAUAUCUAGUUGAAAUUUGAAACUUACAUUAAAAGCAUUUUGUAAAAAGGAAUUGAAUAAUAUUAAGAAUUACUUUUUAAAUAUGUUAUUGUCAAUUGCUUUGAAGGAGUUAUUGAAAUGAUUUACAUGCCGGCCUUUACCACAUCACCCUUUUACAGUUGUUUAGAAGAUGUUGUUAAAUGUUAAUGAUUAACACAGAGUUUUGAAAUAAUUUCAAAAGUGAUGUGCUUUUCGUUAGUCAAAGAUCGAAUAUGAUAUAGACCUAUAAGCUUAUAUAAUGUGUACGAUAUUUUUCAUACUCGAUCUCGAAGUUUGGUGAAUAUUAAGCAUUCGUAACUCCACACUUA